GCAAACUUGGUCAUUUAGAGGAAGUAAAAGUCGUAACAAGGUUUCCGUAGGUGAACCUGCGGAAGGAUCAUUAUCAAUUUGAUGACAAUCCAUUAUAAACCCUUAUGUGCAGUCAUUGAAAAAUCGAAAGAGGGGAAAGUUUUUUUCCUUCUUUUUUUUUUCUUCACACAUUAUAUUUGUUUUUUGUAUAUAUGAAUAUAUCUGAAUAAAAUAAAAAAAAACUUUCAACAACGGAUCUCUUGGCUCUCGCAUCGAUGAAGAACGCAGC
rnacentral:misc_RNA from 1 species